AAAACCAAAAUAUUAAAGAGUUAAACUGCCAAACCGUGGUUUUCUGAGACCGUUGCUAGCGGUCCGAUCCAGAAUGUUGCCAAACUUUGGUUUUACAGAUAAAUCCAACUUCCCAACAUUUCGGUAGUGAGCAUCAGACCCGUCACACGACACAUAACUAUAGCACGAUCAAACGGUGAUUACAAUGUCAUAAAUAAAGCUGCCAAGUAUCGGAAAGCAACUGAUCUUGGCUGUUUUUACAAAAAAAAAAAAAAAAAAA